rnacentral:rRNA from 1 species
CCUACGGGGUGCUGCAGUGAGGAAUAUUGGUCAAUGGCCGGGAGGCUGAACCAGCCAAGUCGCGUGAGGGAAGACGGCCCUACGGGUUGUAAACCUCUUUUGUCAGGGAGCAAGGUGCAGGUCGGGACCUGCUGUGAGAGUACCUGAAGAAAAAGCAUCGGCUAACUCCGUGCCAGCAGCCGCGGUAAUACGGAGGAUGCGAGCGUUAUCCGGAUUUAUUGGGUUGAAAGGGUGCGCAGGCGGAAGCACAAGUCAGCGGUAAAAUCGCGGGGCUCAACCCCGCUCCGCCGUUGAAACUGUGUCCCUUGAGGGCGCGGAGGGUUGGCGGAAUGCGUGGUGUAGCGGUGAAAUGCAUAGGUAUCACG